CUCAGCCUUGAAAAAUUGAAACUACACAGAUUGACCAGUUUUCAAAGAAGGCUGUAUUGAGAGACUGAAGCCUUGCCAACAUCAGAGACACGGUUGUACUGUUACAAGGAAGCAGAUUUACCAGAGAGGAAUAGGGCCAAUGAGUGGAACCUUUCUUUAUAUGUUGUCAGAAUGUCUGAUUGAAUUCGAACAGGCUUCCAGAAGUUUUGAUGUCUGGUCACUAGGAGCAACAUACCUGGAAAUUUUCACUAAGUCAGUGCCAUGGACAGUGAAAAACCAAAGACAGCUGUGCAGUCUAAUUGAAACAAAAGUGCUGCCACAUGAUUUGCAACAUCUGGAAGAAAGAUACAGGCUUAUUGGUACAAUGUUGCACUAUGACCCAGCAUCAAGACCUGAUGCUUCCUCUGUAGUUCUUUCCCUAAAAACAGUAGGAGGACCAGAUUUAAAGAGACGUUAUGGUUAGUUUCUAAAUGUAACUAAUUGCCACAACCUGCCAUCUAUUAAACUUCUCCUCAGAUUCAAUAGACUAUUUAAAAUUUCUGCCAUUUUCAGUUUGUACUAUAAAUAGUAAUGUUGGUAAAAUGCUGUUGGCUCCUAUUCUUAAUACUGGCUGCAAAGAAACCUGGGAGUCACAUGGAGAACGUCUUACUGCAUGCUCUUCACAUUUGUAGCAUUCUCAACUACUCUUCUUGCCAGGGACAAAUGAUAGUUGUACACCCUCUUUGUUGUGAGCUGCUGUCCUGGAAAGGGCCUCAUCAGAUUUUUUUUGGGAAAGCUUCAUCUUUAACAUCUUCAUCUGUUUUUCUGCCUCUGGUAGUGGUGUGUCCAUUGGAAUACCUAGUUUCCCUCUUACUGUUUGGUGCAGCUUGUAACACCACAUACUUGCCAUCAGUAGCUCCAAUGAAAUUUGGGAAGCUCCACCUCUCCUGAAACCCUUUAGCGAUUUCCACCCAAUCUUACAUUUCUGGUACUGGCAUAUUCGUUCACCAACACAUCCCAGAUUAACUUGGUGACCUCAUGCACAAUUGUUGGUAAUGAGUCGCUAGUUUCCGGAAACCUGUAUUACGAAUCAUGCAACUACAAAUCAUAUAAAUUUAGAUAUUAUAAACAUUUACAUUGUGAAAUUCUGCAAAGCUGCUUUGAAACAAUGCGUUUUGUGGAAAGGACUAUACAAGUAAAUUUGACACUAUGUAUAAUUCGUAAUCGAUCUUAUUUGUAUCUUUUUUCUUUUUUUUUUUUUUUUACUGUUUUUCUCUUGAUAGUUGAAGAAGUGAAGAAAAAAAUGGAAAAACCUCAGGGAUAAAUACAUAAAAGAGACGAGAACCAUGAAAGAGAAGAAGAGUGGGUCAGAAGCAGACAGUCAGAAAGUCUAGAAAUACUUUCAAAUUAUAACAUUCCUUGAGAAUCCAUGUAUCAUUUGUUCAUAUUAAUAUUCAGGAACGUCUUCAUUGCUGAAGUACUGAAUGGAAAGUUGGAGACCAGCAAGAUGGUUAGAGUCCACUUCUCAGGGCCCUAUCAUACACCUGGUGCAAUGCAAGUGUUUUUUGCUAGUUUCAGCAUGACGCAGUUAUCAUUUUCACGUCCUGUACCAUGUUAUUUAAAUAGAAAAUGCAUUUGCACCCAUUUGUGCGCUCAUGGGCGUGCUGGUGUGAAAACGAGGUGUGUUCAGGCGUGUUGCUAUUUUAUGGCAACUGAAAUAGACUGCGACCAACUAAAACCUGGUCAAUGGUGCAAUAUUUUUUUUCCAUGAUUUAAAGAGCGCGUUAGUAAUAUGCGCCUGUAGGUGAGUCCACAAAGCACAUACACUCUGCUUAUUACACACAGGGGCACGCAGCAGCACACACACGCCAAAUAUUAAAUUAAAGGAUUACAAUGUAAAAGAAUAUUAUUGUGUAGGUUACAUAAAUAUAAAAAUGCCUACAUGUCAUAAUGGAUAGUCAUUGCGUGUAUCAGAAUUAGGCUACUUAUUUGCUCGCGCACCAGCAGCUCCAUUUCCUCUCUAGAGACGCGUUCAGUCUUUGUGCCUGCAAAUUCCGCCGAGUAAAUAGCGAAUCCGCCAUGGCGCAAGCGCAACUGGCUCUUAAAGGGAAUGGGAGAUGAGACUCUGAUUGGUUUAUUGCACGUUACGCCCAAAACACACCCAUUACUCAUUAAGAGAACAGGGGCAACCCUCUUAGACCAUGCACCGGGUGCAGCUACCGUUAAACUAGCAAAAGUGGAUUCGGACACGCCCUAAGUACACCUACACCCUGUGCUUUAGACCAUACACUUAGAUCCUUGAAUUAGGGCCCUUAGAGCUUGAGGCUUGUGUGGCAUCGAUCAUCAGUAAAGUCAAAGAGGCCCUUGGACAGCCAGAUUCAUUAGUUUUGACAGACAGCCAGGGCAAUGAAAUAAUCGAGUCUGAAGGAACUAGGGGUAUUUUUGAUUAUGUUAGCCACGCUAUUUUAUGCAUAACUAGGGCUACUUUUUAAGAUAGUUUCAACAGCUUAUGUACAGUUUCUUAAAUCUCACUUAAGUUAUAUGAUGUGCACCAGACUUAUUCAAAAACUUAGGUGCUCAGUUUCGUAGACUGCAUAUAAUAGUUAUAAACAUUGUUUCGUUGGAAGAUCCAUUAUGUUUCAUUGUCCUCGCAGGUUCAACAUUCUGAAAGCAAAAUUCCAGAAAAGUGUUUGCAGCGCCAGAACAACAGGCGGGAAUAAAAGAAAGAGGCUAAGGUAACUUUAGUUUAUUUCUCAAGCCAACAUUCUGUCAUCUAUCUAUCUAUCCAUCUAUCCUUUUUUUCUGUGGCUGUGUACAAAUUAUUUGAGACCAACUUUGUGUAAGUAAAAUUAAAUUACAAAUGUUUUACAGUUGAAGAGAAGACACUGGCCUUCAAGAAGUUGUAGCUGACAUCGAAGAGGUUGUUGAGGCAGCUCAAGGACUAAAAGAAGUGUCGAAGAUGAUGAAAGAGUUUAGUGGAUUUGCUCGUUCCACACUGACAACUCUGGCACUUUCAGAGGCUGAAGUGGCUUCUUUGAAAGCUGUCUUUGGCCGUCUCAUCUGCAGAGGAUGACAACUCCCUACAGUCACCCAGCACCACUUGAUGUGGUUAGGUGUGUUGGAACCUGGAGGAGCCAAAAAGCUUUGACAUUUGUAAUGAAACAUGACUACUCCAAUUUGUCCUCCAGCACUUUGACGGUGCAAGUGUGUAGCAAGCCAACAAGCCCUUACCUACACUAUGAAAGGAAAAAAACUGAAAUAGCAAAAUUAAAAACAGAGAUGAUCAGUGCACUCACUGAUGGUGCAACUGUUUAUCUGGAAAAAAAGGGUUUACCUCCAAAUUUGAAGAUGGGGGGAGCUACAUUGUUCAAAAAUACACACCAUCAAAUACAUAUGGUCAGAUGUAUUUGUACAUUGGCCCUGGAACACUGAAGUUUAAAACCGUUCCACAAGACAUCUCAGAGGAGUCAGAGAUCUACCCAAAAGCCCUCUGUCCACCAUCUCCCAACAUAACUGCUGAAAAAGAGGACAUUUUUUCCUGAGGAGGAUACCUCAGCCUCCACGGGCACAUCACUCAAGUGAGUAAAUUUUCUUUUUGUCCAUUUAAACAUCUAUCCAUCUAUCUGACAGUCUUUAUCUGUCUAUCACAAUGGCUCUGUGAUUGUAACACUGGUGAAACAGCCUCCAUUUUCUAGAUGCGUGGUGUGAGGAUGACACAGGCUCAUGUUCCUAUUCUGGACCUUCACCUGAAUUGUGGGGAAAAGGUUUUGGACAUGUCACUGGAGGCGGGAUGAGGCACUGAUUGACCUGUAUGUAGGUGAUGAGGUGGUUUUUACCCUCCUUCGGCCCUGCAUCCUGGACAACGGGCAAGGAAAAUUUCACUCCUCAACAUACACAUCUGUGAAGGUACUUAAUGCACAACAUUACUUCCGCUAUACCAUUUGAGUAAAACUUGCAUUUUGGAGCUAUAAACCUAAAUUUCAGUGAAUAAAUAUCACAUGCACAAAAUUUUGAAUAACAGGAGAUUGUUGUAGCAUUUACAAACCUUUACUUUAUUUUAGUAUAUAGCAGCGAACAGUACAUCUUAACAUAAACACAACAUACUGUAACUUCCUCUGAAGUGAACCACCCAAGGUUAAGCCCUCCCAGUCCUUUUCUCUCUUAAAAGGGAGCCUUACUGCUGCAACAGUCACUAAAUUACACUUAGCUUUUUUAACAUACUGAUAGUGAUUUUCUAUGUUAGCCAGUGCUCCCACCAACAGUCCUCAUCUACUCAGCAACGUUUCAGCCCUGAAAAAGGUAAACAAGACACAGAAAUACGAAUUGUUUGCCAUGUCACACACUGUUAUCUGACUAAUAGCUGUUAUUUGCAGCUCAGUUAUGUGCUGGACAUGGGACGGCGUGGAAACUGUUGUGAAAGAAGGGCCCAUAUGUCUCAUACAUGAAGAAUUCUGGAGCCUUGGGUUGCUAAGAAACAUGGAUUCUGAGAAGUGUAUUGGGAAGUUAAUAAACACUUGGAAAAGAAAUGUUUCUAUUUGCUGUUUUGCUUGUUUCAAGCUGGUUUCUUUAGAGGACUUCAGUUGAAAGGAGUUGUAACAAGUAAUGCAGGCAAAGAUUAACAAAAUAAUAAUUACCCCUUUAUUAAUGACUGCAGACUUGUGUGGCAAAACAAAGAAACACAGCAACAUUUUUAUAUUUACUUUUACCAAUAUGUCAAGAUGAAUGUGUUUUACACAUGUCUUGUGCUUUAAUAUUUACAAAGGUCACCAACAAAAUCCAUUUGCAGUUCCACCAACUUCCCACUUUUUGGCACUAUGGAUAUGCAGAAAUACACGUCGCUCGAAUCAUGUCCUUAACGUGGAAUUUGAAGGGAAAAAAAAGUCUGUCCAGGUCAGAUUUUGUCUUAAAAUGUAGGUUUUCUGCCAGAACAUACUUCACAAAUGUCCUUCAUUGCAGACUGAGACCAAUAUGGCUGAGUACCUGUGCUCAAAAGACACCCUUAAAUUUCUGUAUGUUCUCAUGCUUGGAGAAAACCAAUGCUUUCAAGCCUUUGCCAUUAUAAAUGGAGAAGCGCUUGAGCAAAAUAGAUGGCUGGCUGCAGUAGAUGUUUGCUUUAAAGCAUUCUACAUUUUUGAUAUAAAUAGUCCAAACAGUGCUCCCCACUGUGGGAGCUUCUGUGUGUGGACUGAAAUGCCAGCAGUAAGAAUUCUGCGAGCAUUCAUUUUUGCUAACAAACAGUAGUUAUCAUUAUUGUAACCUCAUCUCUUUUAUGUUGUUUGUUCUUUUAAAUUAACUUGUACACUUUUUCUCCUAAAUCCUUGCUCUGAGCAUUUCUCUUGCACAAUAUCUUGACGCUUAUGCACAUGAAUGUUUAUGUAAAUGCUAUGAAAUAUUUUUUUCUUUUUGACUUGAGUCAGUCCGUUUUGUAAUUGAUGCAGUUUAAUCAUUAUUCUAAAUACUUAUUUUUCUUCUACACUAAUUACAUUGCAUUUGAUGAUUCUUACUGUGACUUAAUCUCAUAUUGUUUACUCGUAGAUGGAAGAUUUUAGCCAGUUUUACUAACAAAUUGCGUCAGCGCAAACCGUCUUUUGGCAUUAAAAUAGUAUUGUCAGGAUUUACUAAAGACGCGCAGUGAAGAAUUAGUGCUGAAAAGGUGUGGACACAGUUAUUUUUGUGCCUGACCUAUGCAUUUCAUCAUUUCUAUUCAUCAACAGAAUAGAGCAAAAACAGGGAAUCUUGUGUGUCACUUAACAUUAAAUAAUUGUUUAUUGAACUGUUGUACAAAAUAUCACAUUUAUAAAUCAUGCUGAAAUGGCAAUCUUCAUCUGAUUAGUUCACUUUGUUAAAUGAUAUGAAUAUAAAUGACACACAGGGGCCUCUUCUGCUGUUUUCACGCGGCCACCAUAUUGUAAUCGAAAGCAGGGCUCUGUUGGGAAGAAACACCAAACCAAGAUUUCCAAUCUUAGAUGUGGAAAAAUGGGCAGAGGAAGGAUGUCGCAUCCCACGAGCUGUCCUUUUAAAAGGAUACAGCAAUUGUAUUGAGGGAUACAUCGCUGAUAAUGAAGGUGAGGUUAACCAUUGCAUGAAGCCAUACAUGCUAGCGAAAUACAUCUGCCUUAGCAUUCGAAAGACAUUGUUUUAAUUCAUUAGUAAUGUCAGCAGGACAUUUUAUGUUAGCAUGUAUUUCAAAUAUUUUUCUCCAAUGUUUGCAGUCAGGAAAAGUGAGUCAGGCUGUGUUGUGAGGGCAAGGGUGUUUCGCUCAAUGCGAAGAAAAAAAAAAAGUUAGCUCUUACACGGUGCAUGUAACGGUUAAAUGAGUUCAAGUUCAGGCGAUAGAGUUCAAGUGCCAAAGUUGGUUUCUGUUCGUUUUCAUUUCCCCCUCCUGUCUUUUUUUUUUUUUUUUUUAAAGUUAUUAAUGAAAAACAUAUAACAAGCCAGAAACAUAUAGAUUUUUAUUUUUUUUGCUUAUUUAAACACACAUUGCGAUUUGUUUUUGGCCAUGUAGAGCCACAGUACCAUAUUGUCUACAUUUAUAGAAAAUGUGUCUAACUGUGGACUCAAGUCUUUGUAACCCUUUCCAACUACAUGCAUAUCAACAACUCUUUUUUAUUUAUUUAUUUAUUUAUUUUUUGCCAGGUGUGGCUCACAUCAGCUUAUGCUGUUUGUGAAUGGCAUACUUGACACACUGUCUGGGUGUUUAUAUAAAUCAGUUUAGCUCUAAACCACACCUUUAUUCUCAUUUCAUUGAUUGGACUCCUGGUUUGCCAACACCUGACUCCAAUUGGCAUUUAGUGACACCAGAAGCCUAGUGUUUCACUUACUUUUUCCACCAUCACUUUGUGUUUAUAUGAGUGUGCUCAAUGAAGACAUGAAAGAUCAUUACUGUUUGUGUUUUAUCAGUUUAGAAAUAUUGUGUUUAAUAUUUGUGACUCAAAUAAAAUUAUGAACAAUUUAUGCAGAAAAUUGGAAAUAGUUCACUUACUAUAUAUUAGUGCUGUCUAACUAUUAAUCGCAUCCAAAAUAAAAGUUUUUGUUUACAUAAUGUGUACUGUGUAUAUUUAUUAUGUAUAUACAUUUAUGUUUAUAUUCUUAUAUUUUAUAUUAUACAUAAAUAUAAUAUUUUAUUUUUGUUACUUGUCGAUACAGAAUUUUUUACAAAUACUAGAUACAGAAACCAAAAGAAUAUGUAUAAUGUUAGUUGGCUUAGUUAAUUUAGCAAAUAGAUAUUUCCUUCAGUUAUUUCCGCACUUAAUUAUGCCUAUUAAAAUGUAUUCUACAAGAUUUUGUUUCUUUCACUGUUCUUUUUAUAUACAUGUAUAUACAUGUUUAUUUCAUAUACAUGCCCAACUGUUUUAAAUACACUUUUUUUUUCCCCAGAGGGUGCAUUGUUAUUUUUGUUGCUUAUCAAUGUUCUGUAAAGGUUUAUCAGACAGGAAUAAUAUAACGGCUUCUCAUAAAUUUUUGCCUCGUAACUGGGAAUAUCAUGGCAAGAGGUAAGUUGUCGUCUUGAGCAUCACUUAUUGGUUUGCAUUUAAAUUUUUUUCAUUUAAAAUAACUUUUCUUCUUGAACAUAUUAAAAUGUAAUGUAUUCCUGUGAUCAAAGCAUCAUUACUCCAGUCUUCAGUGUCACAUGAUCCUUCAGAAAUCAUUCUAAUAUGUUGAUUUGCUGCUCAAGAAACAUUUCUGAUUAUUAGCAAUGUUGAAAACCAUUUUUCAGGAUUCUUUCAUGAAUACAACGUUCAAAAGAACAACAUUUCUCUGAAAUAGAAAGCUUUUGUACCAUUACAAAUGUAUUUACUGUCAACUUAAUGCAUCCCUGUAUUAAAUUAUUUAAAAAAAAUCUUAGUAACCUCAAACUUUUGAACAGUACUGUUGUAUAAUGUUGUAAAAGAUAUCUAUUAUGUAUAUAUCACAGUCUUCUAUUGUAGUGUGAUUACCAUACUGCAGUUACUGAACCAAAAAUCCUCUCAGCCGUCCUGAUCUCUCUGCUGUAGUCUCCUGCUGUCUGAUUUGGUAGCUGAACUAAACCAGACAGUUAUAGAAAGUUAUGUAUUUUGGGGAGGUGUGGCAUAUCUAAUAGUAUAUCCAGGAGCCCCUGCCGCUUUAAUCGCCUUUCGGUCCGAAUAGGUGCCCACGGACCGCGAUUUCAACCGAGCGGGAAACUUCUCUAAGCGGCGCGCUGCGACUCUGUGUUGCUUCAAGAGCAUCAUUCUGCGGAUGAGAUGCGCAUAUGCGCUUCGCGCCGCCUUUCAUAUUAUAAUACUUUUGCGCAAAUUAAAGAUUAUUAAUAGCCUUUCUUGUUCUGUCAUAUCUAUCAUAUGUUGCUGCCUCAUUAUUGUGCUAUACAUUUAAAAUAAGUGUCUUUUAAUUUUAUAGUAUUUAUUUACUUGUUUUUCAUGAAUGAUAGUACAAAGAGCAAUGUGUAACAUUUUACCAGAUUUAGUCCUACACCUAUUAACUUUUAUUCGCGAUCACACGGACUCUAUGGAGCGGCAGUACUUAUGAUCAUACCAUUUUGGCUAUAUGGGGGUGCUCAAUGUCUGAUUUCACAUAGAACUACGCGGUUUUCUCCCAAUAAGUUAAUAUUCAGCCUAUUAUGAUAAUGCUGUAAAUAAGAAUCUGAAAAGGAAAAAAAGCUUUAAAUAAAUAUUUUAACGUGCGUGAAUAAAUCCAACCACCCCUAGAUUUAAGUUUCACUUUCCAUAAUCUGUGACAGACAGAGGAGCAUUUUGGCGGCAAGGAUUUAAAACUUUAACAAGACUCAAACUGACACAGAGUGAAAGACUGGAUUUUUUUCGAUCAGGUAGGAUACAAGUGAUUUCAAAACUUUUCAGCCGAUAUAUAUAUAUAUAUAUAUCGUAUAUAUUAUUUAUCUCGUAUAAGAUGCAAUUGAAAUACACAUUAGGGUUACAAUUUUUUUUAUAUUUUAAAAUGAAACAAUAUGUUAUUUGAACAAUUACACCUUCCUGAGCCAUCAAUGUGGCAUUAUUUUUUUUAAAUUAAUUAUAUAGAAUUCCAAGCACCACAAAACUGCUCGUCCCCACAGCCGUGUACAGAGGGAACAUGCUUUAUUUUGAGGUCAAAUACAGGAUUUUCUACCAUUUAAAAUACAAAGUCUAUUCAUAACUAUCAAAUAUAUGAUGUAAAUGGCAUAAUAAAACAAAAUGCCAAAUAAAUAUUAUAUAAAAUAUAUAAUGAAAACAGUGGUCCCCUGGAGUGUCACUGGUGUUACUGUUUAACAAAAGUCUUUUAUUUUGGAAUAAAAAAAUCACACUGAUGACAUCAUUCAACUUCCUCCU